UGCAGGGAAAGAUGCACGUUGGCCUAAGG
rnacentral:piRNA from 1 species